ACAUGACAAGGUGCAAUGGCCUACAACAAAGAUUUGGUUGCUACGACAAGAGGUACGCUCCACAUCGAUCUACAUAUCAAAUUUUAGAUAAUUAGCAUGCGACAUCAAUUGGAACGAGGAAGCAUUGAUGAGUCAAUUUUAUUGGAGCUUGAAAGAUGGCAUGAAAGAUUUGUUAUUAUUUCUUUUCGAUCCAUAAACACUCAACAAAUCCAUUAGCCAAGCUAUGAAGUGCGA
rnacentral:lncRNA from 1 species